rnacentral:rRNA from 1 species
AUUGAACGCUGGCGGCAGGCCUAACACAUGCAAGUCGAACGAGUGGCGGACGGGUGAGUAAUGUCUGGGAAACUGCCUGAUGGAGGGGGAUAACUACUGGAAACGGUAGCUAAUACCGCAUACCAUCGGAUGUGCCCAGAUGGGAUUAGCUAGUAGGUGGGGUAACGGCUCACCUAGGCGACGAUCCCUAGCUGGUCUGGGAGGAUGACCAGCCACCAUGGAACGGAGACACUGUCCAGACUCCUACGGGAGGCAGCAGUGGGGAAAUUUGCACAAUGGGCGCAAGCCUGAUGCAGCCAUGCCGCGGUGAUGAAGAAGGCCUUCGGGUUUUAAAGUACUUUCAGCGGGGAGGCGUUACCCGCAGAAGAAGCACCGGCUAACUCCGUGCCAGCAGGCGCGGGAAUUC